AAGUGGUCCCCAAGGCCGCUCGCAUCAUGGUGGCAGCGUGGCUGUCAUUUUAGAGAGUAAGAGCUAAGCGGCUCAGCGGGUCCAGCGGAGCAGCGGAGAUGCCAGCUGCGCAUGCGCGGCACGCCGGGGCAGCCAGCGUCUUUGCGGAGAGAGUCGCUCACCCGCUCAUUUUGUCUCCUCAGCGAAGCGGGCGCAGCGGACGAGCGUGUUCAAAAUGGCAGCCCCCAACACAAGCGGCGGCGGCAUGCCUUCGGCGGCGCUUGCAAGCGCUGCGCAGGCUCAGCUGCUGGCGAAGAGGCCCCGGCGGGGUUUUACUGCUGAAGAUGACCUGGCAGUUUUGAGGGAAGUGUCAGCGGUGAAGCUCUUUGGUGACAAUUUACUGUGGAUCCGUAUGAUUGGCAGCUUAAAACCUGUGCUCGGCCGGGAGACUACUCUCAGAAGUCUAAAAGAUCGUGUAGAUCUUUUAAUUGGUUACUGGAGGCAAGAAGACAGUAGGAAAUUAAGAAGGUCGGGAACGGAGGAACAAUACGCCAAAAAAGAGCAGAUACUGCAGGACCUGUCGGAAUAUACAAGGUCUAUAAAUUAUGUCCUCAGAAUAGCACCUAGAAGUUCAAACAGCUCUGGCCGCAAAAGAAGUCACGCAGCUGCGUCCUGUCUGGCGACGCUGCCAGAACAAGUUCGUGCAGAUGGAGAACAAGGACAUGCUGCACAACUCCUGCUCUCAAUGACCACCCCGCGCAGUCCUGCUACUGUUGAACUCUCUGGAGAGCCGUGCAAUGAGGAGGAGGAGGAAUAGCAACACCACCACCAGCAGCAACAACAACAGCAGCACCAGCAGCAGCAACAACACCAGCAGCAGCAGCAAGAAGAGCAGCGGCAGCCACAACCACCGCCUGCAGCUAAGCAACGAGUUCCUGUAACGGCGAGUAGAGGAAUCAGAGGCCUGCAAAGCAUGGGCUUACAAUUGUUGACUAUGCAUCAAACGCAUGAAUUUGAGAUCCGGCAAAGGAAACUUGCCGUUGAAAACAGAAAAUUGGACAUUGAAGAGAGACGACUAGCUCUGGAGGAGCGCAAGCUGGCACUUGCCGAAAAAAAAGCAUGAACUUGAGGUUACAAGUCGCCAGCAGGAACGCCUGGACUUUGUGAAGCACGUGGAAGAGAUGUUCGAUAAACUCAGCCAAGAAGUAACAGACCUAAAAAUAAAAAUGUCUGGAAGCAGUUGAAUAAUAAAAAAGUGAUUUGUUGCACA